GCUUCACCUGUAGAGUCCAACAGAACAACACCCACCAGACCAGAGAGGCUCACAUACAUGUUCCAGGUGAUGUGUUUGUUCCUGGUAACAGUCCUGUUUGUCACAUCACCAUCAGCUUGACAGUGAUUUUCUUCGUUAUUCUUGGAGUUGUCUUCUUGGUGGUGAAAGGGUGUCGCAGACAUAGAAGCAAAAAUGUGACAUCAGGCAAAAAAAGUCCAACAACAGGAACUUCACAAAAACAUGAAGAGGAUCCUUUGGUCAUUGAGGAACAAAGAGAAACGGUUCAGGUCACAAAAGAGAGUCUGACCAUCAGGGAGAUGGAUGAGAAAGAAGCAGAACUCCGUAAAGUGUUAAAUGAUCUAGAGGAUCAAACUACACAUGUGGUGGCACUAGUUCAGUUAUUAAUGGACACAAAGAAGGAGGAAGAAAAGGAAAUCAGUGACAUGGAAAAACAAAGAGAUGAAAUUCAGAAUAAGAUGAAAAGAAGAAUAAAACAAAGAGAACAAGGUAAAACACACGUAGGAGCAUAUGAAAAUAAAACAGUUGAAGAAAGUAUAUCAGGGUUUGAAACAAAGAUGAAACAUAUUGAGAAAGAAUUAGAACGUAAACAGAAAGUUCUUGAUUCAGUUCUUUAUGGUAGUGAUGUGAUGAUGGAGAAGAAGAAAGUCUUGGGGGACGGAAUGGAGGAGAUUAAAAAACAGCUGAAGGAGAUAAAGAAGAAGAGAAAUUAAGUUGAAACAAAGAACAAUUCAGACCAGCCACCGGUUGUUAUUGAACCUGUUAUUGAACCAGGAAAAAUCACAAGGAGAAGGAACCUGAACGUUGCCUCAGUGGUUCAUAGUUUUUCUUGGAGUUGGUGACUGUAUGUCUUAUUUGUUCUGCAGCUCUUUAAUUCAUAUAGGCUGUACACAUAUCAUUAUAAUUUGGUUUACUAGAUACAGAACUAAUGUGAACAGAUUUAAUUAGAGAUUACAGACCAAAACAAAGAUCUGUCUUUUUGUUUUCUUUGAGUUUAGUGUUGAUGCAUCAAUAUCUGAGGCUGCAGAGUUUUUUUGGUUGUUUGUUUGUUUGUUUUUAAAUUUGUAUAAAACAGGUUUAUGUUGUAGUAAUUUAUUAUCAAGUUCUGAACCAGACCACACCCAAACCAAGAUCAUUUAGACACUGUUUUAAUGUAUAGAACGUGUGACAUGAUGUGAAUGUUGAUUGUCACUUGAUAAAACACAAGUGAAAAAUGUAAAAUUAACAUCAAAUCUUUUUCAUUUGAUUGCAACUUUGGUUCAAGAAUCUAAUCUGUUGUUUAUUUUAAAGAUUUUAUUAGUUUGUCAAAUGCUCGAUGUAAAAAUAAACAAAUAAAUAAAAAUGGAUUUACAAAA